rnacentral:rRNA from 1 species
AAGGUGUCUCAGACUAAGCCAUGCACGUCUAAGUACAAACUAAAUGAUGGUGAACUGCAAAUGGCUCAUUACAACGGUUAUGAUGCACCCGGGAGUUCCGAUGGAUAUUUCCAGUAACACUAGAACUAAUACAUGUCCCUGCGUUUAUUAGUUUCGCACAGUCCGUCGCUGAGUCAUGGUAAACAGUUGAUCAACUCGACGUCCCGGAACAGUUUCCGCCCCAUCAGCUUCGAUGGUUGGGUAUUGGCCUACCAUUGCAACAACGGGUAACGAGGAAUUAGGGUUUGAUUUCGGAGAGGGAGCCUGAGAAACGGCUACCACAUCUACGGAUGGCAGCAGGCGCGCAAAUUACCCAAUGCAGACACUGUGAGGUAGUGACGAGAAAUAAUAAAGCGGGACUUCUGUUUCGCUAUUAUAAUGAGGAAUAACCAAGGUCAUUCCGAUUAGCAACUGAUGGGAAAGUCUGGUGCCAGCAGCCGCGGUAAUACCAGCGUCAGUAG